UACGUAGGGCGCGAGCGUUGUCCGGAUUUAUUGGGCGUAAAGAGCUCGUAGGUGGCUUGUCGCGUCUGCCGUGAAAGCCCGCGGCUUAACUGCGGGUUUGCGGUGGAUACGGGCUGGCUUGAGGCAGGUAGGGGCAAGCGGAAUUCCUGGUGUAGCGGUGAAAUGCGCAGAUAUCAGGAGGAACACCGGUGGCGAAGGCGGCUUGCUGGGCCUUGCCUGACGCUGAGGAGCGAGAGCGUGGGGAGCGAACAGG
rnacentral:rRNA from 1 species